GAUGAACGCUGGCGGUGUGGAUAAGGCAUGCAAGUCGAGCGAUUGAGCACCCUUUUGGUGCUUGAUAGCGGCGAACGAGUUAGUAACACGUGGAUACGUACCCUGAAGACGGGCAUAAUCCCGCGAAAGCGGGACUAAUUCCCGAUAGUUCUCGUAAGAGUAAAGAAGCAAUUCGCUUCAGGAGCGGUCCGCGGCCUAUCAGCUUGUUGGUGAGGUAAUGGCCCACCAAGGCUAUGACGGGUAGGGGAGGUGAGAGCCUGUUCCCCAACGAUGGGACUGAGAUACGGCCCAUACUCCUACGGGAGGCAGCAGUCAAGGACAUUGGACAAUGGGGGAAACCCUGAUCCAGCGACGCCGCGUGCGGGAUGAAGGCCUUCGGGUUGUAAACCGCUUUUAUAGAGGAAGAAUCGAGCUUAGCUCGAUGACGGUACUCUAUGAAUAAGGGGGUGCUAACUCUGUGCCAGCAGCAGCGGUAAUACAGAGCCCCCAAGCGUUAUCCGGAUUUAUUGGGCGUAAAGCGUCUGUAGCCGGUUUGGAAAGUCUCUUGUUAAAUACCAAGGGCUCAACCUUUGGAAUGCAAGGGAAACUUCCAGACUCGAGGAUGUUAGGGGCUGAUGGAACUCUUGGUGGAGGGGUGGAAUCCGUUGAUAUCAAGAGGAACACCAAAAGCGAAGGCAUUCAGCUGGAACAGUCCUGACGGUGAGAGACGAAAGCGUGGGGAGCAAAAAGGAUUAGAUACCCUUGUAGUCCACGCCGUAAACGAUGGAUACUAGCUAUGUGAAGUGUCGACCCUUCACGUGGCGAAGCUAACGCGUUAAGUAUCCCGCCUGGGAAGUACGAUCGCAAGAUUAAAACUCAAAGGAAUAGACGG
rnacentral:rRNA from 1 species